rnacentral:rRNA from 1 species
AGAGUUUGAUCCUGGCUCAGGAUGAACGCUGGCGGCAUGCCUAAUACAUGCAAGUCGAACGAAGCUGAUUGGAAGCUUGCUUCUGAAAGGCUUAGUGGCGAACGGGUGAGUAACACGUAGGGAACCUGCCCAGAUCACGGGGAUAACGGUUGGAAACGACAGCUAAGACCGGAUAGGUGAUGACGAGGCAUCUUGUCAUCAUGAAAAGAGCUACGGCUCUGGAGCUGGAUGGACCUGCGGCGCAUUAGCUAGUUGGUGAGGUAACGGCCCACCAAGGCGAUGAUGCGUAGCCGGCCUGAGAGGGCGAACGGCCACAUUGGGACUGAGACACGGCCCAAACUCCUACGGGAGGCAGCAGUAGGGAAUUUUCGUCAAUGGGGGCAACCCUGAACGAGCAAUGCCGCGUGAGUGAAGAAGGUCUUCGGAUCGUAAAGCUCUGUUGUAAGAGAAAAACGGCCGCCAUAGGGAAUGAUGGCGGAGUGAUGGUAUCUUACCAGAAAGCCACGGCUAACUACGUGCCAGCAGCCGCGGUAAUACGUAGGUGGCGAGCGUUAUCCGGAAUGAUUGGGCGUAAAGGGUGCGUAGGUGGCACGUUAAGUCUGGAGUAAAAGGGAGCGGCUCAACCGCUGUUGGCUCUGGAAACUGGCGAGCUAGAGUGCAGGAGAGGGCGAUGGAAUUCCAUGUGUAGCGGUAAAAUGCGUAGAUAUAUGGAGGAACACCGGUGGCGAAGGCGGUCGCCUGGCCUGCAACUGACACUGAAGCACGAAAGCGUGGGGAGCAAAUAGGAUUAGAUACCCUAGUAGUCCACGCCGUAAACGAUGAGAACUAAGUGUUGGAGAGAUUCAGUGCUGCAGUUAACGCAAUAAGUUCUCCGCCUGGGGAGUAUGCACGCAAGUGUGAAACUCAAAGGAAUUGACGGGGGCCCGCACAAGCGGUGGAGUAUGUGGUUUAA